rnacentral:lncRNA from 1 species
UGGCAUGUGGAAGUUCCCAGUUAAGGAGUUGAAUCAGAGCUGCAGGUGCAGGCCUACACCACAGCCAAACCAACUCAGAAUCUGAGCUCUGUCUGCGACCUAUACCACAGCUCACAGCCACGCCAGAUCCUUAAUCCACUGAAAGAGGCCAGGGAUCAAACCUGCAUCUUCAUGUAUACUAGUCAGGUUCUUAACCUGCUGAGCCACAACGGGAACUCCAAUAAGAUUGUUUUCAUAACACACAUUUGUUCACUAUUAUUAAAAGUUCUUAAUGUACUUCAAUGAUAACACAAAAUGGUAUAGACAGUGUCAGUGCCAUUAAGAAACAGAAAUAAGUUAUUUUUAAAUAUUACAGUGUAAAUGUCUGUUUCAUACAUUUUACAUAUGCGUAUUUCCAGUGCCCUCCAGCCAAAGCCACCAGAACUAUACUUGCAGGUGAACAAGCUGCGUUUAUUACUCAUUCAAGGAGAAAGACCACACACCAUGGGAACUGGGGAAGGAGGCUCAGUGAGAGGGUUAGAACCGACCAUAGGAUUUGGGCUUUGAUUUGGUGAUUUGGACACGAAUCUAAAGGAGAGAUUCUCUCUACAUUGGAUGCUGUCAGGGUCAAGCUUGGGAUGGGGUAUUCCAGUACAUCUCAUCAGUGGGGACAGCCAGCCAGAGUGAAGAUGAACUUGGAUUUGUUAAAGAGUGAUCACUCGUGUUGGCCAGGGCACAGUAGUUAUUCUGCACGUGGUACAGUGAUCUUGUUCUUGUCUAUGCUUAGACAAAUUUGUAAAGGGGGCUUGCUUGAUCUCACUUUAUCACGGGCUCAGAGUAACCCUGUCUGAGGUUGGUGCUCUGUGAGAUUGUGUUAAAUCCAACAGGAGAAUAACACACCCCUGCUGGAUAGGUCAGGUCAGGGCUGCACUUUCUGCUUUCCUGGUACUUUACAAAACACAGACCUCAGAGACAUAGCAGGCUCAAUUUCAGACCACCGCAAUAAAGGGAAAGUUGCAAUAAAGCAAGUCACAUGAAUUUUUUGGCUUCCCAAUACAUAUAAACAUUAUGUUUAUACCAUACAGGAAAGUGUGCAAUAACACUGUAUCUAAAAAAAGCAAUGUACAUAUCUUACUUAAGAAAUAAUUUGACAUUCCCACCAAGAGUAUAGGAGGGGUCCCUUUUCUCCACACUUUCUCUAGCAUUUGUUAUUUACAGACUUACUUAUUAAUGAUGGCCAUUCUGAUUGGUUUGAGUACCUCACUGUAGUUUGGAUUUGCAUAUCUCUAAUAAUUAGUAAUGUUGAGCAUCUUUUCAUGUGCCUGGCCCUCUGUCAUUGGAGAAAUGUCUAUUUAGGUCUUCUGCCCAAUUAUUGAUUGGAUUGGAUUUUUUUAAUAUGGAGCUAUAUAAGCUGUUUGUAUAUUUUAGAAAUUAAUCCCUUGCCAAUCGCAUCAUUCUGUAGUUUGUCUUUUCUUUUUUUAUGGUUUCUUUUUCUGUGCAAAAGCCUAUAAGUUUAAUUAGGUCCCAGUGUAGAGGUUCCUUUAAAAAUAGAGUUACCAUAUGAUUCCAGCAAUACCACUCCUGGGCAUAUAUCCAGAAAAGACAAAAACUCUAAUUCAAAAAGAUACCUGCACCCUAAUGUUCAUAGCUGCAAUAUUUACAAUAGCCAAGACAUGGAUGCAACCAAAAGUCCACUGACAGAUGAAUGCAUAAAGAAGAUGUGAUGUGUGUGUGUACAAUGAAAUAUUAAUUAGCUAUAAAAAGAGUGAAAUAAUGCCAUUUGCCAUUUUGGAUGGACCUAUAAAUCAUCAUACUAAGUGAAGUAAGUCAGAGAGAGAAAGGCAAAUAUCAUAUAAUAUCACUUAUAUGUAGAAUCUAAAAAAAAAGACACAAAUGAACUUAUUUACAAAAUAGACUCACCAAACAUAGAAAACAAACUUAUAGUUACAAAAGGGGAAAAGGGGGAGUGAGAGAUAAAUUAGGAAUUUGGGAUUAACACUCUAUAUAAAAUAAACAGUAAGUUCCUACUACACAGCACAAGGAACUAUAUGCAACAGCUUGUAACAUAACCUAUAAUGGAAAAGAAUCUGAAGAAGAAUAUAUACAUAUAUAUAUGUAUGCAAAACUGAAUCACUCUGCUGAAUACCUGAAAUGUUGUAAAUCAACUACAUUUCAGUUUUUUAAAAAAGAAAUACGUGGUUGCUAAAAAAUGCUCUGAGUUCCCUUUGUGGCACAGCAGAAACAUAUCCAACUAGUAUCCAUGAGGUUGUAGGUUCGAUCCCUGGCCUUGCUCAGUGAGUCGGGGAUCUGGUGUUGCCAUGAGCUGUGUAGAACUUCAACUUAACUCAGUUA